rnacentral:rRNA from 1 species
AUUGAACGCUGGCGGCAGGCUUAACACAUGCAAGUCGAGCGGGGUGAUGGUGCUUGCACUAUCACUUAGCGGCGGACGGGUGAGUAAUGCUUAGGAUUCUGCCUACUAGUGGGGGACAACAUCUCGAAAGGGAUGCUAAUACCGCAUACGUCCUACGGGAGAAAGCAGGGGAUCACUUGUGACCUUGCGCUAAUAGAUGAGCCUAAGUCGGAUUAGCUAGUUGGUGGGGUAAAGGCCUACCAAGGCGACGAUCUGUAGCGGGUCUGAGAGGAUGAUCCGCCACACUGGGACUGAGACACGGCACAGACUCCUACGGGAGGCAGCAGUGGGGAAUAUUGGACAAUGGGGGGAACCCUGAUCCAGCCAUGCCGCGUGUGUGAAGAAGGCCUUAUGGUUGUAAAGCACUUUAAGCGAGGAGGAGGCUCUUUUGGUUAAUACCCAAGAUGAGUGGACGUUACUCGCAGAAUAAGCACCGGCUAACUCUGUGCCAGCAGCCGCCGUAA